CUGGAAAGGUGGACCCGCUUCCUGACCAGCGCUUGCCCCCCUCGUUCUCCCCCCUGGGUGCGUGUGUGCGUACCCCUCCCGGCGGCUGACCCCAACCCAGGGCUGACCCUUGGGAAGGAGGGGAUCUAGAGAGGGGACAGCCCCAUUUCGCACCCAGGUGUGCUGCAAUCCGGGCGGGUUGGGUCCCUUCUCCUUAACCCCCGCCUCGCCAGCCGCCGCCGGCGCUCCCCGGAGCCCCGCUCCCCCCGCUCAGCCUCCGCUGCUCAGCCUCCGCUGUACCGCGCUGCCUGCCGCCUUCCUCCCCCCACCGCCCAGCCGCGAUGCAGCAGCAGGGAUGGAGUUGUAGUGGUGCUGGGCGGAGGGGGUGAGAGAUUGGCUAUAAGGAGAAGGCUGACGGCUGCAGCAUGAAGCGCAUUAUUACCUUGUGAUUCCAUGACCCUCCUCUAUGCAUCCCUAACUCUCGAAAGCUGAUUCAGCUUUCAGCUAGUGCUCUGGUGAGUCCUCUGCUGCAACAGAAGCUCCUAACUGGUCCUCCCUAUUUCUUAGCUUGAAGAAAGCCUCUUCUCCUUCGCUCUCCAUAGAGCAGAGCUGCAGGUUCUGUGCUGAAGCGAGGCGCGAUGCUCGGCUGUGCCCAUCCGUCCCGCAAAGCGCGCACUGAGCGGUCCCACCAGCAGAAACGGGAGCUCUGAGGACUGUAAAAGCCAUAAAUCCAGUGGACCAAAUUAGUUACGUUUUCCUAUUCUAUGCCUCACAAAACCCAUCCGUUCUUGAGAUGAAUUUUCUGCACAUAAGAGGAACUACGGGCAGGUAUAGAAUGGGAAUUUUGCACACGCGCAUGGGAGCACGGGGAUGAAUUCGUGCUGUGUGUUUUCCCCUGAAUUAUUUUUUUCCCUUUCAUGUGUUUAUGUUGAUGAGCUAUUAUUACUUUUGUUGCUAUUACUUAAUACUGGAAGACAGGUGGUCCAAUAAAUCCCAGCACUCUUCUUUUGUAAAAAAAAAAAAAAAAAGGGGGGGGGGGGCAUAUUUGCAAUUCAAGUUUAAUAGUGCAUUCAUCAAGAGCAAUAAAGCAUUCAUUUUAUUGCACGAGUAUUUCAAGGGAUGUGCUGGCCCUGGUGAAAGCAUUAGUAAAGGGGUGCAUCAGCAAUCUCAUUUAAAACUGUCGACCCAAUGUGAAAAAUGUUGCGUUGAAGAAUAAACUGCUAUUAAGCAUGAUUAGAUUGACCUGCAGGACAGAUAUUUUAGCUGCUGCAGCACAAGUCGAUCAAAGUGAGCAUCGCUUAGAUUGCAAAUUUUUUUUUUUUUAAUGCCCUAAAUUAAAAAUGAAAGAGCCUCAGAAUAUUUAGGACCAGAGAGUGACUUUGGGGGUGAGAUUUGUGUGUUUGAUUUGAGGAGGUUUGGAAAGGUGGAGAACGGGGGGAAAACAUAUUAAUUGCUGCCCCUUUAGCAUACAUUGAAAGUAUGUUACUCGGAUCAACCAAUCAAAAAAGAAAUUGUGCUGACUCAGCAUUCGGGCUAGUCUGCACGUCCGAUUGCAGAAGAGAUCAGCACUGCACUGCAGUAUCUUUCCCUGCCUUUGACACCAGCCUAGCUGGGCAGGGCUUCCCUUGUGCUUCCCAGGACUGGGUUAGGCCAAGAACAAGAGCGGGCUCUGAAGAAUCGAGGAGAGAGACAAGGUUGCAGGAGCCUUGAGCUGCUCCGAGGCUUUUUAGUCUGUAAGCAAGAGCUUCCAUGCUAGGUUUGCCCUGCCAGAUGCGAGCGGCAUGUAUUGCUUGGGAAUAUAUCUAUUUUUAAAGAGUUUCACCACAUCUUGCACUUCACGGUGGCUGUGGGCGAGGGGGUGGUGUGUUCCUUGCAAGAGAAAUAUCCUCGCUCCGGAGCUCGCAUCCCUCCCCUGAAAGCCGGGCGCUGAUUUCAGCGAUUCCCUCCCAGUGAAGGCGCUCAGUUUAGCGCUUUCUGCUGAAGUUGCUCUUGACCUGAAGCCAUCAUGCAGCAAGAUGCUUCCCUGUUGGGAUGCAGGGUCAUGGCGAGUGCAGCUCAUUGCACCGCCUGCUUGCUGGGCUGCAGGCAGCUAUGCUGCUCCCCUGCCUUGCAUUCCCCCAGAGGGAGGGGGCUGCUCAUGUAGAGAUGCUGAAGCCAUUGCAGGGAUAGGACUGGAGAAGGUCUUGGUGCAAUUACCCAAGAACAAGCUCAUUCUGAGUGUGUAAUGGCCAAAAUGCAAAGUCUUGUGCAGCCUCCUCAACAGGCAGAGCUCCAAGCCGCCUGCCUCCUCUGACACCCUGUAAUUCUCCAAAGGAGAUUCUGCUCACACUGUGUAAGCAGUGUCAGCAUUCACCCUUGCUUUGAGCUUGCAUUUCUUGCAUAGAGGUCUGUAUGAAGGAACAGAGGCCAAUAGCCAUGUGCACGGGUGGAAGGUUGUCAGAGGACAGACACACUUGGAAUAAGAGGCAAGUUUAUAGUGAAGCUUUUAGCAGUUGGAGCAGUUUUGGUGGUGCUCAGGAUGCUUUGAUGGAAACAGGGUGCCUGACAUCUUAAAACAGAUGCAGCUUUUCCUUUUUUCCCUCUUUUUUUUUUCUUUCUUCUCUUCUCGAAGCACAGCACUCUGCCUGUGCCAUGUCCAGAUAUGGCCUGCGCUGGGAUGGGAGCUGCUAGCUAAAAAAGCCACAGGCAGCCCAGCGGGACCAGCAGCAGCUGGUAUAAAUAGUGCUCAUUCUCAGCUGCCCCUCUGCCGGGCCGGAUUAGGUGGCAUCUGGGCAGCCAGGGGCUCGUGACCACCGGCUGCAGAAGUCCCCAAGCAGCUGUGAGGGCAGGAGCCGUCCCUGCAAAGCCCUUACAUAGGCACGUCGACCCUGGCAUUUGGGGGGUCGGGUAAAGCUACCGGAGCAGGAAUCCGGUGACCUAAGAAUGAUCAGGAAUAAAUUUCAUCGCGGCAUCCAGGCAGAGCUUCCAAUCUGGGACAUGGCCCAAGGUUGGAGGCAGGAUCUGGCCUUCUGCUUUUUACCCCAUUGCAUGCAUGUGGAAUCUGCAGGGAUGGUGAAGCAUUGCUCAGAGUGGCCAAGAUGCGGUUGCGUCCCCCUCUAGGACACAAUGAGUUAAUUUACUGUCAGUGAGAUUAUUGGAAUCUGAUUUAAUACUUGUGUUUACUUCAGGUCAACAAAUUAAAAAAAAAAACAAACCAACACCACAACAAAGCUUAAUAAUUUAAGGCACCAGCUUGAUGGAGGCUAAUAGAAAAUAAUGCAUCUCGUGCAGAGAUUUCCAUCCCAAGCUUGCAGAGCAUGCAGUGUGUGCCCCUCCUGCCAUGCCUGCAGUCAAUGCCAUGGGAAGGGGCGGUGUGGUGCCUGGAGGCAGCUCAUGAUGUAUGGAAGUAAAAAAAUUGAGCAGUGAAUGGGAUUGGUUUGACUGAGUGGAGAUAAACGCGCAGGCAGUAGCUGAAAUGUGAUGUGCGUAGUGGGGGAUGUGGGAUAAAACUCUGUUGGCAUCACAGGUCAGAGUAGAGAGGGUCUGCUGGCGGGCAGGUGAUGCAUGGGUGGGCACAGGUGAUACUCAGCGUAUGAGUAAAGGUUGUUGCAGAGUGUGUUGGGGAUGGUCCCAAAGUGACCACAGUCUGGGUAGGAGAUGCCUGGAGCCUUCAGGUGCACUGGGAGAUGCGGCACUACUCGCAGGGUGAGAUGGCAGUUCCUUAGUGGGGAAUGGCUUCACCGCUAAAUCAGUGCCGGAGCUUUGUCCCUUCCCUUCCUUGCCGUGUCAGGGCUCUGAGCCACACCAGGUUGUGUUCUUUAAUUUAAGCUUUGUCCUAAAGCCUUGUCUCAGAGAUAAUAAGACGCACACACAUACGCACCCACUAAAAUCCAUUGUGCCAUUUUUGCAAAGAACAGCAGAAGCUGCCCGUGUACCUUCCCCUCUCUGUCCUCCACACUCAUUUGGCCUAUUUGAAGUGGAAUUUAUUCCUGGGAAGGUCCCCAUCAAUUUGCCUUGCUCUUUUGUUGACAAGUUUAUUAAAAACCUGGGCAACUCCAUAUUAAACUUUUAUCAGUGUCGAGGAAGAAUACGUCCUUAGAGCGGCCACAAAAGUUAUGGAUUGGAUCUGAACAUUUCUUGUUCCACUGUCCAGCUGAGUCAGCUUAACAAAUAAAAGCUGCCACCUCCAUUUUUUUCCCUUCCUCAAGAGACAGUUCCCUUUCCCGUGUAAGUAACAGCAGCAAUAACACAAGGAGGUUUCAGGGCCGGGCAAACAGGAGCUUUUCUUUGCACCCACCAGUCCUUACUGCUGAUUAGAAUAAUAAUAUUAACAGAAAACAGGAAUAAAAUAAGAGCCCUGCCGGUAGUUAUAGCUUCUUACCUCUGAGCUAAUUGUUUGUGUAAAGUAAUCUCUACUUUAUAGACAAAUAUAUGAAAAAAAUACCCCCCAAAGUUAAUAUGGGUUGUACUGAGAGCAACGUGAGUAGUUUCACAUUUCCAUACCCUGCAAGGGCACGGAGGGUUGGCAGCGCGGCCGGCGGCAAUACUCGGUUGGGGAUGUGCGGAACCGUCGCUCUUAUUCCUUUAGUUGUAAGAUUAAACCAAGAGGAGGCCAACGUGUUGCAGGGGAGAUGUUAAAAAUAAAGCGCUGGCAUCGCAUAACCUAGUUCCUGUUUUGCCUUGCAAUGGAGUUUUUAUGAGUUGAAAGAAACCGGCGAAACAAUCGGUGAGACGGAUUUUGAGCUGCCAGAACGGAGACAGGCAGGGGAGAAGUGAACCGAGUGGUGGCUCUUAACCUCUGCCAGAUAAAUAAAUAAAUAUCUGUCCCCAAACAACAUAUUUCUUGGCCUGUCACCGCGUCCAAGGAUUUUUUAGUUCUUAAACAGGUUUGCUGGCAUAAUUUGUCAAGUACAACAGGGAGGUUUCCGUGUGACAGAGGAUCAUUUUUCACCGCGCACGGUGGGGCACCGAAACAGUCCUGCAGGCUCAGAGCAGCUCCAUAAUUAGAUAACAGUUAACAUACGUGUAUUAGAGGGAUCAUCCUUCAUGCUAUGGGGCACAGCAGAGCCUGCCACUGCCGAUACCGUGCUGUGCCGAAAGCAGGCAGGGAGCGGGCCGGACAAAUGCAUCUUACUCCAGGAGUUUAUCUGCAUCACCAUUUGCUCCAAUUAUAACUAAUUGGACACAUAUUGCAUUUUCAUAGCAUCUAAUUUUCUAUUGAUUUUAACGGGACUGAUGGUGUUUUGUACUGUUAAGUGGUAUCUCGUACCCGUUGUUGUUUAAAAAUGCUGAGUACACUCCCCUGUAUGGAAUUAUGCAGUCAGCAGAUGUUUUAAAACCUCUUUAAUUGUUCGGUCCAUAAAAUGCACAAAGUGUAUUAGGGAACAGCUUUGUUCUCUUUGAGUGUGUGAGUUUAAAAAUCCAAACUCCAAACUAUUUCUGCUGCCAGUUCCAGGAGCUGCAGCUCUCGGCGGGCAGCCCUGUCCCAGGGGUGGGCUCCCUGCUGCAAUGGAUGCUCCGCAGUUCUUAGGCUGUGUAUGAAGCAGGACCUUCAGCUCCAGGGUGAAAUUUGGAUUAAGACGAAGAUGUUCAUAUUGAGAGUCAAGAUUUUGAUAAGGUCACUUGUGGUCUCCUGUAUAACUAAGGAAUAAGCUGGUAAUUGGUAGGAUUUGGGGUUAUAUUCUCUGUUAUAGAUCUUGCUCUCUGUCUCGACAGUACGUCCAAAUAAAACCGGACUAUCAAAUUAGCCACUGCAUUUCAGCAAAUACUCAGUGAAGCAGGAUGAAAGCAAUAGUCCUCUGUUCAGCAUCAUUUAAAGAAGAAAAGAUUUAAAUGAGAUAUGUAGUGGAGGAGCAGAGAGGCAGCCGGGAAAAAGCUUUCCUAGCAUUGAUCAUUACAAGCAUGGUGGAGAUUUGAACGCUUCGGAUAUUGGCAUAUGAGGAAGAAGGUUUUUAUGCUGAGGGCGGUGAAGCACUGGCACAGGUUGCCCAGAGAGGUGCCCCAUCCCUGGAGACACCCAAGGUCAGGCUGGAGGGGCUCUGAGCACUGAUGGAGCUGUGGGUUUCCCUGCUCAUUGCGGGGGGUUGGACCAGAUGGGCUUUAAAGGUCUCUUCCAAAUCAAGCCAUUCUGUGACCCUGUGAUUAAAGGUAGAUAGGGCAGGCAAUAGGAUAUGGGAAUUGUUCUGCCUGGGGUGCCUGUGGGCUGCCAUCAACCCGCUGCCUUCUCCAGCCAUUAGCAAGAAUUGCAUCAUGUUGGUGGGAGACAGGUGGGAUCAUGGAGGUGUAUAAACUAAAUAGACACUUUAUUAAGUUCAGGUAAUAGUUUUGAAAGACUGAGUGGCUACUGCACUGUCAGCAGCUCCUUUAGUGCCCAUAGGAACUGAGUGCUUUUUAAUUAAGUCAAAUAAAAUCCAAGCGGAAGACUUCCCAGCCUUGGCUGAAGCAUAUUUUUUGGGUUGAAUACCUAUAAUUUUAGAAAUGUUAAUAAAACACAGUCCACUUUUUCCCCUGUAAUAAUAUAAAUUAAAUUAAUAUUUUAUGUCUGUAAGAAAAAGGAUAAAAGCACCGAGGUUGUAUUUUCUGGCUUACAAAUGGCACAUUGUGCAGAAUACAGCAACUGUGGCAUUGAUUUAAACAUCCUCGCAAAGACACCAUGCAAUAAAGUUGAAUCAUCUGCAGUACAAGUAUGGCUGUUUGGGGGAAAAAUAGCCAAAUGAGAGAGCAGACGUUUUCCUGUAUUAUCAAAAGCCACUUCAUUUUGGGGAAAAUUCCUCAGAUUUAGUGACAUUUGGAUGGAAAUCAAAUAACACAUUAACUUGAGGAAAGGGAAAAAAACCUUCCAAAGCUAAUUACAGAGGGAAUGUGCACUUCAUUAAGAUAAAGCUGUAAGAAAUCAAUGUUCUGUAUUGUUGUUUUUUCCUUUUGAUUGGAUUUUAGCAUGAUAAAUUGUUAAUGCAUUUGAUCUAAAAAUGAUUUGUUUAUUCAGAUGAAGAGCAACAGUACUUUGUCUCAUUUGGCCUUUUAGCUUAUAAUGAUAAUGAUUUCAAGAGAUGUUCAUUUCUCAAAAGGGUAUUGGACUGGAAUAAGCAGGAGAUUUCUGGACUCAGAAGGAUGGGCCCUACACAAGGGUUCCUUGUAGGCUAAUUCUAUUGCAUGUUGAAUCUUCUGCUUCAUUAGGAAUAUCGACAAAUGUUGAUAAAUUCUUUGGCUAUUCUGUGCUGUCUAUAUAAAACAUCUUCAUUAGAAUGUUGAGGCUAAAGCACAAAGGUCUUCAUUGCCCCAGGUUCUCUUAUGUUGCCCACUUUUGGCCCCACUUGCCAUGGCAGUGCUUUGAUAACACAGGGAUCUGGCUGCUCUCAGAAGUGUAAUCAUGAACUGCAAAGCUGACACUUAGACCAAAAGCAAAACCGAGGCAUUACACAGUGACUGGCAGAGAGGGGAAUGAGAUGCACAGCUUUAUUUUGCUAUUUUGCCUUGGAUUUGCUUCAGAGAUGUGUUCCUAUAUCUCCCCAGUGCCAUUCCACUAUGUGGCCAUUCCUGGCUGGGGCGGUGUCGGUCCCAUGGGCAGGGUCCUAGGGACAGAGCGACCAGAAAGGACCUUCCCAGUGAGACCCAAUUCCAAGCACUGCUGGGAGGAAACAACUGGAUGAGGAUGACCUUCAGACAGCAAACCUAAAUUUGGUGGCGCUGGGUCGCCCGGUCCUUGAACCUGGGAGGGCAAUAGGAAGGGUAAGUGACACCAAAGCCUGGUCUGACUGGGUUUCAGCACAGCUCACACCUUUGAACACAUCCAGCAAAGCCUCUGCAGUUCCUCUUGCUGCACUGCUGGCCGGGCCCAGGUGUGUGGGGGCUGUGAGCCCCAUGUGCUGCAGCCCUGCAGCAGAGGUGUGGGGAUGCUUUUCCUCAGUUCUGGGAAAGCCUCGCCGCCAGAGCCAUCGUUAGUCGUGAUUAAUGGCAUCCAGAAGAGAAAACCUAAUUUUCUAAAAAGGAAAACCUCACUCAUAACUCACUGCAGAGAAUUCAAACAAAACGUUACGGAAUGUCGGCGCGUGCUGGCAUUGAUUUCGGAUGUGCUGCGGGGCACUCCCUGAAGCAAAGCGAGGGGAACAGAGCAGCACUCAUCUCCAGCAGAAGAUGCUUGUUUUAACGCCCUUCCUGCCAAAACCAAUGGGAUGGGGACAGGACAAGGGCACCUGGAGCACGCCAUGCUGAUGUUCGGGCAGUUCAUUGCUCUGCCUCCCAAAAUCCAUAUGCCCGUCAGGGUUUAGCUUGCAGUCUCGGUGCAGCAUCGGUCACUGCUGGCACUUCCACCUCCUCCCGUUCUCUGGUAAAUAAUUACUUCCCUCCCUCCUAUAACUCACCAAAGGAUGAGUUUAAUACUUCUAGGUCCUCACUGUCUAAGUUUCCAUUUAGCUCCUUGGCUUGAUUGUCUCUUGAAAAGGUACCUAGAGAUAACUCGAUUAAAUUAAUUGUAGAGCUCUUUUAAAAAAGAUGUUCUCUCUCUCUUUCGCUCUCUCUCCGCAUUUAUUUAUAGGCAGCUUACAGUACUGGGGCUGGGCAGUUAAGUGAUCUGCACUACUUACUGUUACAAUGCAAAGCCUGGAUUUCUUGGGGACCAGCAAUACCGGCCCACAUGCAAUAUCUCUGCAUGCAGUGCCUUUCAGCACAGACUCGCUCUUCAGCCAAAGCUGCUAAGAAGCUUAAAUAAAUCCUGAAUGCCUGAAAGCGAAGCCAUGUGAACCCGUGCAACGUCAGGCAGCAAGUUCAGAAGAGGUCCUGGCGACUGUGAAGGAAAAGGCCCUGAGGAGUUCCCCUCUUUGCUUUGCAGAGCGUGAGGCCAAAUGCUUUGCUAAAGCUGGUAAAAUGGAACCAAAUCAACUGUUCAAUGGAUUUGGUCCCCUUCAACCAGCUGUAGCUGUGCAUUGAUCUCUCAGACGCACCUCGGAGGCUGACCCGGACAGCAGAAGAAAUGGGCACGUGAGAGGGGCCAAGGAGGGAUGCUGAUGGCUGGCGUCUGCAGAUCUGUCACCCGGGCUCUAAACUGGUGGGCUGAGCCCGAGCCAUUAUGUGGCUGCCAGUCAAUUCUGUGUAACGGAGACCACUCAAGAUUGAUAAUCUCUAUCGUCCUCCUGUAUUGAUCCCAGCUGUGAUUCAGGUCUGUGUAUUUCAAGUGCAAAUGCUGUACGUUUUACGUGUGAUUGCUCAGACACCUCCCCCCCAGGAGCCUCGUGCCUGUGUUUCAUCCGCUGCAAUGAAGAAUAAACGUUUUGAUCUGAAGUUCCCUCCUUGUGUUUUGUUCCAUGCGCUGAGCUGCUCACGAAAUGGGAAUUCUGGGGCUGGCAAGGCAGGGAAUGGGGUGGAAGCACCUGCUGCUUCCCAGCUGCCCCAAACUGGCCAGCAAUAUUGGGUGAUUUGAGAGAUAAUAGCUUUGUUCCAAAAAAAGUCUCCAUUUGAAUGUGUUGGGCUUAUGUUUCUAAAGACCUGUGAAGUGUCUGCUGGUCUAAUCCUCAUAAGCACAAAUAUUAUGCUAAUGGACUUAAAGAAAAUCACUGGUUUUCCCCAUGUCAUAAUGAUUGUUGGGAAAGGACGUUGGGCAUCAUCUCUUCCUAAGUACUGUAAAUCUAUAGGACUAUCACAAGCUAUUACUGCUGGUAUAAUGAGCCAUUUGGAUGCAUAAGUCUGAUAUGAGAUUGCUCACAUCUUUACUUUUUAAAGAUACCUGGCCCAGGAUAACCCCUGGCAUUAGAGGAGGCAGACAUUUCUCUCUUUUCUUAUGUAGGAAACUGGGUCGCCUGACUCCAGGUCCCCAGUCCCUCAGGUACCGGUUAAAUGUUCUUAAUAGUAUCAGGAGUAUUCACAUGCUUUAAGAGAUGGAGCUAUUUGCUAGAUUUGAGGUUUAACGUGCGUCUAAUUUUUAUGUCACUGAGUGUUUUAAAGACAAAGACAUGAGGAGCAGUGGAGCUGCAGGAGCAUCCCUCCUCAGCUAAAAGGAAACCCAUGCUUUCCUCUGUAGCUCAUUUUUCUCACCUUAAGUGUCAAAGCGUCUAUGCUGAAGUCCUACUGAAAUCCAAAUAGUGGUUUGGUUGUUGUUGUUUGUUUUUUUUCCAUGUAUUCCGUUAGAUCAGGCAAAUACCUGGUACUUUUUCCUGAGAACAAGUUGGGGUUGAGGAGCAUGUGCAGAGCUGAGGGCUCAGGUCUCCAGCUCUCCCCUUUGGGAAGCAGUAAUCGCUUCUCACACUGAAAAGAAUGCUUGGGUGUCAAAAGUUCCCUCAGAGUGAACAGCAUACACUGAGAAUACCUUCCAUGCUGAAAUCCCCUCUUGCUGCAGCCUGGGCAGUGAUGACAGAUAAGUUUCUAGGGAGCUUCUGGGAAGAUAAGUUGUUUGUUCUGUUAUUUUCUUCUUUUCCUGUGGUUCAUCAAUCUCUUAGUGUAAAUAUGUCGGGGAGGAGAAGCAGUUGUAUCAGCACUGAUCAGGUAUAUUUGCUGCAUUCGUUCUGAAAAAUGCAUAAGUGGGAAGCUGUGCAUGAACUGUUGGAGGAGGAUGUUCUCCUUCACACCACCCUGGAAAUAUAUAAAAGAAAUAAUAAUUAUUAUUUUUUUUUUUCCAAAAAUGCAACGUCUCUACAAACACCCACCAGUGCAUCCAGAAGGGCUUUAUCCUUGUCUAAUAGGAGAUGCCCAAGCCCUUACAACAUGAAGUUGCAAAUAUUUUAGCCUGUAAACAGAGGAAAGUGAGUAGCUCCAAUGAAUCCCUGCAGCAUCAUGGGGCAAAUUGACAUCCAUGCGCAGGAAGGAUGCUUGUAGCUUUACAGCCACAGCACGUGGCAAAAUAGCCAAUGGUCACCACCUCUGCAGCUGCAAGCUGCAGGCACGCAUUUUUGCACACUCCUUUCCCUGCCAAUUGUUUGCUUUGUAAUCAACAGUGCUGGUUUCUGGGCAUUAUCCAAUCCCACCCCCUAAUUUUGCAUCAAGUGAAAGCAUCAGUGAAGACAGGAAUGAGCGUGCAUGCAGAAUCGCUGUGCAAAUGCCACCCUAAAGCUCUUGCUGCCAAACCCAAGAUUCAUAAGCAAGGAAGGAUGGGGAUGAAAGCACUGGGGAAAGGAAUCUCCAGCACAAACAGGCAGUUUGGGCUGUGGGUGAUACUGGGACAGGUUGAGUAGAACCGGGUGCUUCCAGCAGGCUGUGGCUUGGCUUUCCAAAAUAGCAUGCUCCCCACUCCUGCAGUCUGGGUUAUUCUCCCUCACUCCCCAAGGCUGCAUUCGGUGUAAACAGCACCUUUAUUAAAAUUCUUCCUUCGGAAUGUUAAUUAAAUUACUAAAAAAUGACAAAUGGGGAAGCUGAAGACAUCACAACUGGAACAAAACCACGGAAUGUAACUGAAAAGGUUUUCUCCUGGUGAAGCAUGGGUGGACAAGGGCUCACCUGCUGCAGCAGCUCAGGGUGAUUUCUUUUAAUGGGGCUCCCAGGCUUUGGCUGUUGGCAUCUACACAGAUCCCAGGCACAUGUUCCUCUGCAGGAAAUACUGAAAGCAUUUGUUGUCCCAGAAAUCCUCCCAGAAGAGUUCUGGAUAUAUAUGGGAACAGCGGUAUGCAUCCAUACAACAUGUUAUAUGGGAGUACAUGGCAUUUUAUCAUCUGAUGCAGUUGUUGUGCAAUGAUGUCACACUACUUUGAUCACUCUAUAAACCCGUGUGCCAAAACAUCACCUUGGUCUGUGUUUUGGUACCCCACAGCCAUCUGAGCACUGAAUAGUAGGAAGCUUCCAUUUCACUUGAAGCAAGAAGAUGGAUGUGGGGAUUUUAAAGUUGGGCCAUGUAUUUAGGAGCUUAAACAUGGAUCUCACCUUCAGACAUCUACGUUUGGAAAUUUCUGCAGGUAUAUUUAUUGGUUAAUUAUAUCUUUAUGAAUGGGAACUUCAAUUCACUUAAUAAGGAAUUUGUAGAACGAUACAGGCUACUAUGAACCAAUGCAAGAAAUGUGGGGGCCAAGCCAAAGGCAGCUGUUAGACUUUGGGGGAACUUUCCAAGGACUGCUAAUAUACAGGGACAAACCUAAGACCAGGGCCAAAAAAUAAUUGCUAAUAUUCCUCCCAACAGUUUGUCUGUCAAACCUGUUCACCCUCAAAUCCCUUCUGAUGCUCUGCAUAGGAGCAAAUGGAGCUUCCAUUUCAACCAGGACAUGGACCUACCCAGGGUGUGAAAACUGGAUCCUCUCCAGUUGGCUUCUCAUAAAGCACAGCUCUGAGUGGAAGUUCUACCACUGACUUUGAAUGCCCCAGCAUCAGGCCCUGGCUCAGGGACUGCCAUCCUUUAGCCAACCACCCUGUAACUCCAUCAGGCCUAAUUGUCCUUCAUAGCCACUAACAGGCUGAUCUGAUGGCCCUCCAGACCCUGCUGGUUUCCUAGAAACCCUAUUAGCUUCUCAAACAAAGCAAUGCUGAGGACUCUGUCUUGCAAACCUUUUGUGCAAAUAUUAAAUAGCAGUGGAUAAUUAGCAGGAAUAAUCUUUUUUUCUUGACCUCUUCUGUAAUAAAGACCUUUGUCAGCAAAUGCAAACGUUAUUUUGAGCAGUAAUUCAUAAUCUAAAUCUGCUAAACACACCAGACUAAAUACACCUGCACUCUCAUAUCCAUAGUGUUUGUACAGGACUUUUAAAAGGGAUACAGACACAUUAUCUGUCCCAAAGACCUGAACACAUUCAUCUGUCAAGUGAGGCAGAGGAGGUGGCAAAAGAGGUGGUACAGAAGGGAAGAAGGAAAAUAAAACAGUAAAAAAAAAGUGCACAAAUAAAUUUACCCACUAAUUUAGAUUACACCUCUUGGGGCUCUACUCAUGCUUUGUGGGUAUUCUCCAAAUGAACUGCACGGUCCCAUUAACACCAAGAUGGCUAGCAAAAAAUCAGGUUGGCUCUCUUCCCUAAAGACAUCAUCCUCAUCCUUUCUUACCAGGAGAGAAAAAUCAAAUGGUUCCUUCAGCUUGUUGAGCAGGACACAAGCUUUGGACUCUUCCAGCCUGUUUUGGUUUCUCCCUCAAGACAAGCAGAGGGGUCUAAUGACUCUUGCCUCUUCCUCCCUAAUCUUCUAUUUAGCAAUAUCCUCUCUGGAAAUCCCCGAAAGAAAGGAGCUAGAAAUUGUCCCUCUCCUUUAGCAUUAGACCCACUUUUACCUUUGGUGGUCCACCAAUGCAUCUCUGGGCGCAGCAAUCAGAUUAUGUGGAUUUUGCCCACGGCAUUUUACUCUGCAGGUCCUUUUCCUUUGUAUGGUUUUUUUUUUCUUCUUCUUUUUUCUUUUUUUUUCUUUUUUCUGAGAGGAGAAAAAAAGAAAAGACAAGCAAACCAACAGGCAGAUAAUUGUUCUGUGCUGACAGUUUGUCAAGUGAAGGAAGUGCAAUUUUAGUCGAGAGAUCUACAUUACAGCGUUACUUGAGCAGAAGUCUCUUCUUUUACUCCCAGAUGGCAUUGACAUAUAGCCUGGAGGGGCUAUCAGGGUACAAAGCUAAAGAUGGUUAAAGACAUUAAAAACUGUACAAUAUGAGCACCGUCUACACUGGGACCAUCACCUAGGAUGAAGAUUCACCCUGACGUAUUGGGCAGAAAGCAAACUGAGCUGAAGGUAUUUUCAAGAUACAUGAAAAAAAUAUAUAUAUUCCUGCUCCUAACCGUGUCUUUUCUAGUGGGUCUUUAUUGACUCUUUAAAAACUAUGACCAAUAAAUGUAAUGAUCUGCCUUCCUCUUUCUUCCUGGGUGAAUGAUGGCUCCUGCAGGGUGUUUAUCACUGAGUGUAAUGGCUGGUUGAUCAGUUCGUGUCCAACUCCACUUCCCAGCAAGCUAUUGAACGCCUCCUCCUUGUCACGGGGCCGCCAGCAUUUCCCCCAUCCUGCCAGAGCUUCUGUUAAGCCGUAUAAUAAAUAUUGCACUCAGAACAAGAUUGUAAAUCUUGCCAUAGGACAGAGGGUAUUUGCUUUUCUGCCUUUCUUGAGUUUCGUGUUGCCUAAGUUGCUGUAAUGUACUUAAGCAGAGAACAGACUUAAUGCUCUUGCUUUCUUUUUAAUAAGAUGCAUAGCUCAUUUAUCCAGUAGGUGCAGCUGGAGGGGAAGAGAACUGCAAAGAGGGGACUUCACCUGCUGGAAAAUAUUCUCUACUUCCCCCAAAAGUGAUGAAAAUGUCAAUACUAUUGACACAAUCACUAAUUAAAAACGACUGCCAUAAUCAUGCAUAUGACAGCCGUAGGACAUCAGUUUGGAUUAAAUGUGAGCAGCAAGUUGUGCUGCACAUGGUUUCCAAAAGCAGAAAGGGCUGGGUGAUGUUAUCUGCUGUUGGAUGUACAUCCAAGAGAGAGAAGGAUGCUCUUAAACAUAGUUGCUCUUCUUUGCACAGCCCUGGUGCUUGCAUGGCCUGAAUUCUUCGCAGCAAUGAGAAAAAAGUGCGUCUGUUUUUACUUCCUUGUCCAUGUUUACUUAUUUGACUGAGGUUUAAGCAGUGCCCUCUGCUCUGUACAUAGUGUGGGCACCCAAUGUGCAGGCAGCCAUCCCAGCAGCUCAGUGCUCGUGCAUUGCUCCCAUUGAGUUGUAGUGACACCUCAGGCUGGGUGUGCAUAGCCUUUCCUCUUUCUCUCAAGGAGUAAAAUCCUUUUAUUUAGGGGUUUUAGCAUGCAGACUUACAACAAAAAAUAUCUUGUCAAUGCCCCACUUGGAUUAUUUCCUUACGCAUCGGUCUAACCGGGUGAGAAAGAAUUCCCAUUUAAAUGCCUACGGUUCUUGCAUUAUGCCUGUGAUAUGAAUGCAUGCCCAGGCAUCUCAUCUACUCCAGGUCAUUGUCUUUAAUUGGACAAGACCAAAAAUAAACACUGCGACCUUCCACAUAGUCCCAGGGGCUCCAGGGUGGGAUGGAGCCUGUUGGUUCUUAUCUAAGCAGAAAUGUGAAUCACUAGGAAAGUGUAUGUGCCUUUUCAUGGUGUGGAGCAUGGACCAAUGAGCCCUAAACCUCAGGAAGGACAGAAAGAGGGCCAACCCUCUGAGUAGGGAGAGUUGUUAGUCUCAGACAGAAGGAGGACAGCAUUCAACAAUUGACACUUCCCAAAUCUAAUCAGCCUGACCCCAAAACUACCAUUGGAAAGGCUUACGAUAUGUGCCCGUCUCCAUUGUAUAGCAGAGGGAGGAGUGUAAAGCUGUCAAUAAAAACUUGAAAAAAAGAAAGAUUUUAAGAAACCAAGGAACAGAAAGAAUGUGUUAACUAAGAGUUGGGCAGAGUGCUUCCAUCCUAGUGGUGGUGGAAGAGCCAAAGGUUUCCCAGUGAUGCACUUUUUUCAUUUGAAACCCUUGGUUGUUCCACCCAGCGUGCAGUUUGACAUUGGGAGUUUUUUAUGUGGCAUGUUAGGAGGUCCUCAAGCAUGAACUAAUUGAUUCAUGAGUGGAUGAAUCCGAUGCAUCUUUUAAAUGGAAAACCGACAUCAUUCUCCAUCAGAGAUCCGCUAAUAAAGCACAUUUACUUGGUUAAUCCAUUUUUUUUUUUCUGUGCUAAGUGCACUGUAUAAGGUAUAAAAAUAUCAAAUCAAUAGGCAAAGAGUAUAUAAAAACAAGUGAGCAGUGUGAGCCACCCUUGGGUGGGCUCCUUGCAGGACCUGAGUUGGAUCCCACUCCCAACACUGCACAGAGCAGCGGGGCUGCAGUGCACAGCUGUCCCUAUGAGCCCCAGGGGACAGCGGGUGCAGAGCCACCUGCUUUGGGGCCUCGUGGCACCACACUGCUCCCUAUUUUAAGCAGUAACUGGGUUAAAGGUGUCGGGUUAAUCUCCUUCUCUCAUUUGCUAGGAUUAUGAUAUUUAUUAUAGCAGAAGGAGCAGAGAAGCAGGAAUGCGUAUGGAAGACAGAGGCAUCUUCCAGCUCAGCCUGCACAAAUUCCCAUUUUUUUUUAAUUUUUCCAGGGGAAUACAGCAGUAUUAUUUCAGAGCAAAUGCCUGCACAGCCCCGUCUCUGCAAACACCACUCGAUCAGUGCAACUCUCUGGUGUGAGCUCAUUUAACAAGCGGUUGCCUUGCAGGCUGUGGAGAAUUGCCUCUUACCUAAUAAUUCUGCUAAUUUGCUUAACUUUCCCAGAUUGCAAAUGGCCCUGCCCUGAACAAGCAGCUUUCUAAAUGAACCCCCAGACAAUUUCUUGACAAGAAGGGAUCGGAGAGGUGCCUGCUCGGGGAGCUGAAGCUCUCAGCCUUUUUAUUUCUGACCUUUGGGCUAGCAUUCAGAUUUGCUUGUUGGGAAAACUGCAUUCCAAGUGUAUUUUCUUCAGGGAUUUACAAUACCCUUCUGCUUGUAAUUAUUCUCACCUGAUGUCUUCCAUAAAUUAGUUAAAGAUGCUUCUAUUAGUGAGCUCCCGUCCUGUUAAUUAUCGUGCUGCAGUUCCUUGCUGGUGGCCGCUCUGCAGCACCGGGGCUGCAUCCGUGCAAAGCUCCCGGCCGAGAGAUCAGGGAUGUAGUGUGUGGGUAAUACAAACGUCUGAGCAAUCUGGGAAAGAAAUGAAAACUGCUGUAAAGGUAAAUGUCAGACUAUUUAAAGACAAUGUUGACUAUUGAUUUUUCGGACGAGACUACCUCUUCAAAGGAUGGCAAGCGUUCCUUCGGAUCCAGACGAGGUAACUUAGGUGGAGGGGAAAGAGGGGGAGGUGAGGGAGUGGGGAGGGCAGAGAUUUUCCCAGCGAGCAAAACGAAUGCUUUACAAAACCGCUGGGAUCAAAGAUGUGGGUUGGGCUUUCCACAAAAUCCACCUUUCAGCCCCUUUAAGCACCAUGCCUUUCCCAAGAAACAAAGGGCUGAGAGGUGCUUGGAAGCACUGAUGAAUAAUAACAAGAUGAGUAGCAAAAUACUCGUUUCACUGCAGCUUUCCAUUGAAAAAUGAAACUUCAGGCACUCUCAGUGACUACUGAUGUGGCAAACUCACCAAGCUCCCUGAUCCCAUCCACGCUUCCUGGCACAUCAGCGUUGCAUGGGAUGAUGAGCAGAAAGGGGGAAGCAAAGCCAUCGUUCUCUAUGUACCUACAACCCAAAAUCUUUUGGGGGAAAUUACAAUCAAACUGGCAAUUUUGGGGUCAUCCUUUCGAACUUUGGCUUCAUACGGUUUAAAGGAAAAUGAAGCCUGGAAUAAAAACUUUGUCUUUUUAAAAAUGAAGUGCAUGUGUACAUCUAUAUAAAAUACACACGUAUGUAUGCAAAGACAGGUUUGGUGGGGAUCCUGAGUGACUCUGUGGAAACAGCACGGCCACCUCAGGAGACACUGGUGUGACUCCGAGCCCUGGCACAUGGAAACCACUCGAAUCUGUAGUUAAAUCUAAAUGAAAAGCCUAUUACUCAUAAAUAAAGGGGGGCUGGGCUGCUGCAGUAGUUUAAAGCAGAAUUCUUCAUCGGUGUUGGAAUUUAAAGAUUGUAAAAUGCCACUUUGAGGCAUUAUGCAGUUGUGCAGAAACACUUCUUCUGCAGUGAAUUUAGUUCCAAGAACAGAUCUGGACCUAAGAGCUAUUACCUCUUUGUUUUAAGGUGCAAUCUGUCAUCCUGCAAGCUUCCUCGCAUGAAAAGUUUCGGGAUUGGGUAUUGAAAGGGCAUCAGCAAGAGCUGCAAAUAGCCUUAAGGUGAUCCAGGAGCAACUCCGCUCCCAGCAGCGGCUGCUUGGGUGAUGCUGGGCAGGAUCUGAGGUGGGGACACGGCAGGACAGAUCCUCCCUGCUCCCUGCCUUCCCCUCUAUGGUGUUUUUUGGGUGCUUGAGUUUUAAGAUCGCAAGAGAACUUCUUUGGCACUCAACCCAACUUGCAGAAAGCCCUGAGUCCGUGCAGGUCCUAAGGACUGCUGCCUGGGGUAACUUCUGGUUUCCACGCCUUAUUUCAACGUGGAGGUCUUCAGACAGCGUUAAAUGACAGAUGAUAGAAUUUCUGCAAGUGAUGUUCAUCUGAAUUUUAUUUUCUGAUGUUUUGACUCAUUGACUUGAUGUCUCUCUAUUAUGCACACACCUCUGGAGAUGUUACUGGCUAUGAUUAUGCGUGGCAUCGAGUUAGUGAAUAAAACCACUGCAGGAACUGCUUUACAGAUCACAGUAUCAUUUUCUCUAUAAUUGUCCCACAAACGGUGGAAGUUAUAUGGAGAGAGCAGCGUUCCCUGACAGACUGCAUAUUUUUGCAGCGUGCAUCAGAUCUCACUUUGGCUUCUGAGACUUAUUUCUGAUGGUUCUUGGGGAUUUAACUUUAAGACCAACGUUUUUUAGUAUCCAUAUACACUCCACUCUUCAUGUCAUCCAGCAGCACCAGAGGAUGAGCUGUCUCCUUAAUAUGGAUGAGAUACCAAUUUAUCUAAGUUAUCACCUCACUAUCUCUCAUUCAUCUCUGCUGUUAACUGCUGUGUUUCUGACAUCCAUACCUAAACAAUCAGCAACUUCUUCUCCUUUAAUUGAAACCAUAAGUAAUUUUUGGCUGGAAGUUCUUGUUGUGUGUGUAUAACGGCUUCUUCAUCUCCCAGCUGGAAUUCAGUGAUCCUGUGACUGAAUCAGGCUCUGGACACCUCAUUUUAAACCCACAACAUCACACAGACCCACUCAGCACAGUAAAUCAAAAGUCAGGGCAUCUUGCCACCAUCUGAAGAUAUAUGACCAAAUUAACAUGUCCCAAGCUCACUGCGAACAACACUUGCGGAUGGCCCAGGCGUUUGGCUGCAAAGUCAGCAAAGCUUUCCCCCUUCCUGAUACAUUCCCAGAACUGUGAAACUUAGCCCUACUCUUGGUAUUCUCUUUAUAGAGGGCCCCGGCUGUAUUAUGUAUCAAAUAAAGGUCUCAUUACUUAGUUCCUGGCUCCUUCGUGCCAUUGCUCUCAUUAAUCAUCCUGUUCUUCCAGCCCAUGCUGCAAGCCAUUGGGACUGCCUCAGUGUCCACCCCUGAAUUAAAGGCUUCAUUCCCAGACCCUCCAAGCUGGUGGUCUCCAUCCUUUCGUGACCCACUGGCAUACAGCCCCACAUUGCUGGGGGCACUUGGCCAUGAUGUCUGGAGUGCCAGUGCAAAGAAGUGGUCUUCCAAGUCUCAUCUAGGGGUCACCAGGGUGUUGCAAAGAGCACUGUGUUGUGCCUGCACUGAGAGACUCAACAAGGACACAAAAUGGAGAACAGAUUUGGUCGUGCCCCAAAUCUGUUAAUUUCACCCCCAAUCUCCUUCCAAAAAUCGUUGCCAAUUAUUGAGUACAGCAAAUGUACACCACCCACUUCUGUCCUGCUUGGUUUCACCCCCUGCACAGGGAGCACCCAAAUGAGCCCCACACUCUGUACUCCCCCCAGCAGAGCAGCACAGCUGCUUUCCUCUCUUCCUUGUGGUUCUCAGCAUAGAUCCCACGGGGUUUGCCACUUUCUGUGGGUAAUAUUUUUUUGCAGAAGCACAAACGACUCGCUCAGAGCCUUGGAAUCUAGCUCCCUUUGUGCUGAGGAUGAAAUGCAAAGAGGCAGAAAUGCAGUGGAGAGCAAACUUCUCUCAGCUGCAUGAUUUUACCAAAUCUGAUGGUUUAUUCAUUUUAAUUACCCUUGGAAUUCGUAUUUGUGUAUACAUAUACAUGAAUUCAUGUAAUAACAUGUAAUUAGUUUAGAGUUUGACAUUUCAGAACAGGUAAUUAAAAGAGUUUGUUGUUGAUUAAUCGCUUGCAAAAUAAAUUAUUAGCAGUAUCACCGUUAACGUUAUGUUUAUUACUACAAUUUGGAGAAAUUAAGGCAGUUCACUUACAUUAAAUUAAACACGAAGGCACAGAUGUAAUGUACCCUAGACAAUAUCUAUUUACCCAGAGAACGAAUGUGAUGUGUGCGUUACAAUACAUUUGCUAGGUCAUACAUCUCGGAUGGCCUCUGCGUGUCACCACCAGAAACUUAACACCGACGCACGGACACUUCCCAUUUCUUUCCAUACAUAGAAAAUUCGGGUAUGCCGGACCUCAACCCCUGCUCUGCACUGCAGCUCUGCGGGAUCUGCGGAUGCUGCAGGGUGCUCAGAGCUGCCUGGGGAGGAGGGAGCAGGCUGAGCAUAGGAGCUAGCAGGGGCAUGAGGGGCCAUGCCAAAUGCAAGCCCACAAAGCCUGCAUGUGGCAAAGAAAAUCAAUUUUUUACAUCCUCAGCAGACCCCCAGGCCAUUGUCAUGAACCAGAUUAUAGCCAAAGUGUGCAGAAACGGAAUAAAUCUCAGCACGACUCAAUGAGGUGCUAAAGGCUUAAGCAGAUUGGUUAAGUAUAAGUUGAAUUUGAUCUUUAAGCAACUGUGCACGGUCUCUACUGGGAUGCCGAGAGGUUUUGUCCUGUGAGGAGAUAAGGAGCCCUUGCUUUUGACAACUGUUUUGUCUGGAGGCCCUUCUGAUCCGAGUCUGAGAGAGCAAAGGCAAAAGUCAGUGGAGAUGAAAAGGAUGCUCUCUGGAUCUGUCCCUCUGUGGUUUUAUAGCUAUGGGAAAUAAUCUAUAAUUAGGUGUAUAAAACAGCUCUCUGAUCUCUUUGCUUCUGGCCCAAAAGAGCACAGAAUUGAUAACUCAAUUAUCUCUGCUGGAAAUACAAAUAAAUUACAAGCACGUGGUGGGAGGAACUCCAAUAAAGGGGCACCCGCACAGCACAACGGGCGCUGCUCUGCAGCUGUGGGACCUCAACGCUGCUGCUGGGGUGAGGCUGGAAGGCAGUGGGUGCUCUUUGCUGGGGACUCCUUGAGGCUGAAUAUCUCUCUGGAUGGUGGCAGCCACUGGCAAAAGCACUGGGGCAAAGAUGGAACCCUCCCAAAUGGACCCAGGAGAAAAGCCAGGGCAAAAGCUCACUGGAAGAGGAGACACUGUCCUGGAAGAGCGUGGCUUCUCAGAAAGGUGAUGAGCUCAGCUUGGGAAUGGGGUGAGAAAAGCAGGGCUGGGUUUAAACAGCUUUCCACAAAUGAGAAUAAUGAGUGAUUAUCCUUUUCCUGGCAAAUUCCUGGGAGUUUCCAUUUGGAAUUUACAACCGGAGCAGUGUAGGAUCUCAGGGGUCUCCUUCAUGUUCUGCCAAGCCAGCAGAGCCACCAUCCAGCAUCUACACCAACACCAACCCCUCUCCCCGCUGAGGCUCGUUUCUAAUGACUCCUGGGCUGAAUUAACAGUCUGUGCUUGUGUGACAAUGACAAUCAGCGCUAAUGACCACUCUGUUUGUCUAAUCCACAUGCUGAGCACUGAUUUCGGUCCCUGCCUCAGACUCCCUUUGCAAAAGAGUCUUUUUAAGCAAUUUAAAAUGUGCAGGAUGCACUGGGCUGUCCAUCCCUGCUCCUUUGAUAUUCUGCCGCCUGGAAGUGUCCUUGAGCCAACAGGCAGCACCUGUAGCGAGGUGUGCCCUAGGAUGAUGCAAAGAGCAAGAUGAGAAAAGCCUUUGCAUUUCAUAUCCUGUUCGGUCGACCUAUUCAGUAAUCAGGAAAAUUAUAUUUAAACAAUUUGCCCUUUGAUGCAAUCCAAGCGGCUCUGAAGGGCAAGUGCACUAUCACAGAAAGCUCCGUUUUUAUUCUGCAGCACACUUCGUGACCCCACGGGGAGUGUGUGGCAGUGCAGAUCCGUGGUUUAUUUAGAAAAGGAAAACAAAAGCACUCAACUGCCCCCGAAACCUUUGUGCCCCUUCCAAAAUGUCCCCCAAUUCACGAGGAGCGGGAAAACCAACCCAACUAUUUCCUCCUAUUCGCUCUGCCCAUUGGCAUGCAUUGCUUCACUGCUGGGGAGAAACAAGGUAGCACAAUAAUAUUCACUUUAUGGACUUGACUUUUUUAUUUAGGCAGCAGCAUCUCCCAUAAAGAAGCCUGGUGCACGUCAUCCUUCCUCCCUGCCCAUGGCAUGGGGCAGACGGUAGAGCAAUUCCAGCUGAAAGCUUUUAGCUCCUGUAACCGAUGAUUUAUAUUUGUGCUGUAAUAGCCAGAUACAGCAAUAAUAGUAAGGAUUUAAUUGUUUUAAUGAAAGUAGCUUUUUUUUUUUUCCUGCAUUCGAAUCAAUUUGCUAAGUUUGGAUGAUGGAACGUAAGAAUGGAUUUAGCUGCGCUUUCCGCACGCUCUGAACAAAAAGGCACAAGGCAUUUCAAAAGAACCAGCCUGACAUAUUAAAACUCUUAAUAAGUAAUAUCUGCAUAACUAAAGGCAAUAGGAGCAGUCCAACCUGAAGAAAAAAGGGCUUUACAGGAAUUAGCGUCUCAUUGUCACAUUUGUAAAAGGGACACAUGCAUUUUUCAGAUCUUUGCACAUUAAUGGCUGUAUUUGAUUCAAAAUACAGUCAGUGAACCCUCAGUAAAUGGAAUUAAAUGGUAUGUGUCUGAUUUGAGGGUGACAAUCCGCCAAUUGUUUCUUGUUUGAAUUACUACCUGCGUGGCUGGGCACAGCAGUAAUUGAAACUAUAAUGUUUCAUUCCUCUUUAGCUAUAAUUUAUCUGCAAAGUUCACUCUCUGCUGUUCUGUUCCCCUUCCUGAAAUCUCUCCUUUAACCGUUAUGGUGCUGUUGGGGACUGUAUCCCUCCUGCACACCCCAUGGAGCUCUGGGGAGCCCACCCUCACAUGGCACCGUGGAUUUCCCAUCGAAACUCAGAGCACACAGCGGCUUUGAGACCAUCUUAUGGAAAAACCAGUACAUGGCAUCACCAAACAUUAAACACUGUGUAGUCAGAAUUAUUGGCUGAACGGAGGAGAACCCGACGUUGCUCUUUCUUCUAUCCAUGCCUCGCUUUUCUAUUUUAGUCAUUUAUUGUAUUCUAUGCAGAGGUGAUGGGGCUGGACUCAGUGAUCCUCAUGGGUCCCUUCUGACUCAGGAUAUUCUGUGAUUCUUUGAUUCUAUGACCUGUGGCUGCCACAGUAGGAUCAGUGCUCAGCUUCUGCUAUAGAUAACAAAUAGAUGGCCUCUCUCCUUAUGCUAUCCAUUUAUAAGCAAUUUCUAGUCUGUUCUCACCCGAUAUUGAUAAACAGAAGAAAAUGGAAUGUAUUUUAUUCAUCCAUAAAGUCUGACAUUUCCAAAGAUGGAAUUACAUUACUCUCCUCAUCUAUCUGCAGCUCGUGGGGCUGUGGGUUGGACAUGCCCAUGUACUGCAGAGCAAUGGCACCCAACCUCUGAGCCUUUACAGGCUGGAUGUACCUACUGAACACUCUUUUUUUAUGCUCACCUCAGAGUGCAGGCUGAAUAAUUGGAGCAAGUGGCUGCAUUUUUCCGAAUAAAAGUGGGAUUUGUAUGUGGCAGAGGUCAGCGGUGCUGGGAGGGAAAGGUAAUUGACAUUCCCUUUGGGAAAACUGUAAAAAUUUGGACAGUGAUUGCUUUGGAUUUAUUGUCUGAUGACAACAUGGAAACAAACAAACAGCACAAUUAAGUGCAACUAAAGCAGUUCGGUUAUGCUGUGAGACUGAUGGCAGAGAGGGACUGGUCAGAACCUGUCUGUUUUUCAGCUCUUUCCCACCAACAAUGACGUUAGGGCAUCACAACAUGAAAAAGAAUAAAAAUAAAGAAGCCAAUGAAGUGGCUCUGAGUGAUGCUGGAAAGUGUCCCUGCUCCCAUGGGGCUCCCUGUGAUGCUGCAAUGCUGAUGGGCUGCAGGUCGCCCUGAUGGAAUUUGUGUGGCAUCCCACACCCCACCGUGGUGAGAGGAGAGCCCGUCUGCUGUCCAGCCCACAUGCCUCUGAUAAAGAAAUACCUGUGUAUGUGAUAGAAAUGCAUGUAUAUACCCACACUGCUGCAAAUCUGGUGUGGAUGUGCUAGGUGCACAGCUCGGAUUAACCCUUUCCUGGGUCACCCCUGUUCUUGGAACAAAACGUGCAUUAAAUUAAAAUGUUAAGAGAUUAAUUUGUAGCAGCUUUUCGUCAGCUUCUGCUUAAAGGUCAGCUUCGAUAUCCUUGCUGUUGGGAUAUUUCCAACAGGGAGCAAAUUGCUGACCCUCAUUCCACUCCCCCUCCUCCAGUCUUUCUGAGCAAGGCACUGGUUGUGUGCAUGCGGGAGGGCUGUCAGCACCUGGCAAGGCAGUCCUGUGUGCUGGGACACUUUGCUCUGAGCUGAGCUGAAGCAAAGGCUCGGAUAUUGCUCGUUCAUGUGGGUUUGCACGAGCAGCCACAAACCCCAUGCAAAACUAUGGAGCAUCUCUGCUGCCUCAUUGUCACGUGUAUCAAACUGAUGUGUCAUUAAUAAUUAAAACUAUAUAUACUUUUCAAAUCUAAAGUACAGGACAGCAGUUCUUCAGCUGCUCCCUUGCCAGAGACAGCAUCUCUUCCUUUGCUUGCUCUCAUAGGUGCUGCUGCAGCACUGAGCUGUGCAAGCCUUGGACAUCGCCAUUCCUUUAUCACUCACUUCUGCCCAGGCUCUGUCUUUUCCCAUUAGGUGACUGUGCAGAAGUGUGUCCCACACCUCCUCUCGCUGUACCUCUAUCUCCAAACUGCAAUUGGGUUUCUUGGGGUUUAAUGGGAGCGCAGCAACUCCGGUGCAUUUAAAUAGCUGAUUUCUCCGCGUCUGAUUCAGGUCUUGCCUCCGGUGAUAUCAGCCUGGCUGCUGCUGGGGGACAAUGGCAUUCAGUGAAGGAGAAAAGCACUCAGGCACAUCUGUGGGGCAGGGCAGGUUUGGAUCCCACCAUCCCCAUGGUGAUGUCCCAGGGCCCUGCUGCUUCCUUUCUCAUUCUGAUGCACACCCCAAGCUCUGGGCAGUGCCAGCACCGCCAAUCAAUGCUCGGGCAGUUAUGGACAGCCCACCUUGCCUCUCAGCUUAGAUUCCAAGGGGCUGCCACCACACUGUGCCCAUGUCCCCUGCAUAUUUUGCUUCCCCUGAGACCCCCGUGCCACCCCAUGCACAGCCCUCCCAACCCGAGGCCGUGUCCCGCAGUGGCCGUGCUCUGCCCACCACCCGCACACAUCUCUCCUGACCCCGCAUCGCAGGGAUAAUUCCUGCUGUCACGUCUGACAUUUAGCCGUCCAGCGAGCCUUGCCAGGAAAUUGCCAUCAUUUCAGUUCGGCUCCCAGUUCCCAUUCUGAUUUAUAUUUUUGUUUUUAUCCAAUUUUUCUGACUUGUUUUGGUAGGGUGGACAAAAUGUUCUCUCCCAAGACAGAUGACAGUUUGCCGAUAAGAGGAGCAACUUAUCACAAGCAGCUCCAAUUCUUUCUCAAAUGCUUAGUCUGUUGGAACGGCUUUAAAGCCUAAUGCGAUAUUGUAGGUUAGCCCCAAAUCUGCUUCCCCCCCUGUAUUUCAUAUUUUAUGGCCCCGAGCAUCGCUCCUUUUAAAACAAAACACUUCAAUCUUCUCCCCACCAUCUACAGUUUUCUUCCUUCUUUCCCCUCACUGUUAAUUUCACUUUUUAAAACUUAUUUUAGGAUGGCAAGUAAAGUAAACAGUGUGGAUGGGUGACCUCUUGGAAGCUCGGUGUCCUUGAGGCUAACUUUAGAAAUCAUUUGUCACAGGCACAGAAAUGUGCACUGCAAUCAGAAUUAGCUGCCAGAACUUUUUUUUUUCCCCAGACAAUUAUAUUGUAAUUUGAGUGGCAUUCUUGACAAUAGUUCAGGUUCUCCAGCCAUACCCAGCAAACUGUGCACUGCAAAGAAAGAGUCCUGUCCUAUUCUGGUUUAAAAAUCCUUUUAUUUCAGUAUUUUUUGGGAAAUAAAUUAAAUAAGUGGUAGAAGAGAGGCAAGGAAACGGAAGAGCUUUGAGCUCUGGAGAUGAGCCCAGUAGGCUAAGAGGUUAUUAUAUGAUGGGGUUUAGUCCAGCAAAACGGACACCCUACCAGAACUGGGUGAAUAAUGUGCAAUUAGUCGUCUGGGCCAGAAAAACUCAGGUUAUUUCAUGCCCUCAAAUAGUCCUCCAUUUCUGUGCAUAUAAUUUUGGGGCAAAGCCUCUGUAUUUAUGACAUUCGCUAAGAGAAGCAGAAGGAGCCAUGACCUGAAAUGAGGGAUCUCAAGCUGCAAGUCUCAGUCCCAUGGGGGUCAGCCCUCCUGGAGUUUUGUUCCAAGACCUUUCAAGGUCUGGAGACACCUGCAGCCAGCACAGUGCCUCUCUUACACGCAGUUUUUACUUGGAAAUAGGGAUGCGGUGUCUCACAAGGGCACAAUCCACCUAAUUAUUAUCUUUCCUCCGCCUUUUUUCAUCCUUAAAUUAUGCUUUAAUGCAUCCUGUGAAUUCAGAUCCCAGUUUAGCAAGGUGCUAAGUCUUUGAACACCGAGAGCCCUCCUGAAGAGCCUCAACAUUAAGCCCCAUCCCACAGGACAGAUACUAAUUACCUCUCACAGCUUCCAUGAAAGAUGCAGCAUUUUACCUCCGAUCCAGAGCAUGUCCAUAAAUAUCAGCCCAGCUCGCAGACAAGCGAUGGGAAAUCUAAAUCACAGAGCUGGCCAGGGCUCACCCGUGGUUCAUCUUUGUACAGGAGAGAGCUGGGCUGAAAUCUCUGCAGGGCAGGAGGUCCAGAGGACAUUAUCGCGUGGUGCAAACAGCAGGGAAAAAUAUCCCAUCAAGAUGCUCAGGAUAAUCCCAUCUCCUCUGGAUUCCCAGGGAAGCUCAUAGAGAGCUCCUGAGUGCAUCGGUAAAUUUAACUGCAAAACCUAGGAGGAUUUCCAACCCUUCAAUGUUUUUCCAGCAUUUUGUUUGCCUUUUAUUAUCUCAAAUAGAUAUUUUUUUUUAUGGCACUGCUCCUUUAGAGAGAGCCAUCCUGUACAACACCCAGAAAAGCCCUUUGUGAGCCAGGUGGGCUCUGUGCUGGAAGAGAAGACAUCUCCCCACCUCUACAACCCCACGGCAGGUGCUCACCUGAGGGCUCCUUAGUGAAAAGCGGCGAAGUUAUCAAACACCAACCAAGUGUGGUGGCUUCAGUGCAUGUCUACAGAUCCCAAAGGUCCCAGCUCCCAGCCGUGCUGCCUUACCACUUAGUGUGAUGGGCUCUUGGUCAAACCUCGGAGAGAUGACUCCUGGAGGGAAGGGAAAGGUGCUGGGAGUGGGCAUACAUGGGUGUCCCCGAGGAAGAGUGGGAUGAUACGGAGUGGCAAAGCUUCAACGCCUCUUCCAGCACAACAAUCCAUCUCCAAGGCAGCCCCAUCCCAUAAAGUGCUGGCGGAUCGUAGGGGCGAAAUGGCGAUUUCACCCGCUAAUUAUAAAAAUGCCAGCCAAAAAACCUGCACGGGAUGAUUUCUUGCAUUAAACAAAUUUUAUAGCGGAGAAGACUUUUAGCGGCGCUAUUUGCAGCCCUGGCCUUUCGCCAGCUCGCUGUCAUUAAAUCCGCCGAUCUUAAGUAUCAGCUGCACUUAUUCGAAGGGGCUAUAAAUAAAAUGCUGGAGCCCAUUAAAGGAGCCUGCUUCCCCGGGCUGUUUGUCAUGGCUGCGGACAGACGGACACCGGGAGUAUUUGGGGGAACUUCCCAGCACUGCGGGGCUGAGCACAGGACUGAGCUUUCUCAUGCACACGGAUCUCUCUCACACCCUUGGCUUUGCAAAACCCAGCUCCUUUCUGCUGGUGCAGCCCCUGUGAAAAAUGCCCAGCAGCACUAAUGUGUGCCUAAUGACCCAUGGCCCAGAAAUGACUAAGAUACAGGAAUUAAAUUUACAAUCAACCUCUCUCUCU
ensembl:lncRNA